ensembl:lncRNA
GUGGGGUGUGGAGGUGGUGUAGUGGUGUGUGGAGGUGUGUGGUGGGGUGUGGAGGUGGUGUAGUGGUGUGUGGAGGUGUGUGGUGGGGUGUGGAGGUGGUGUAGUGGUGUGUGGAGGUGGUGUAGUGGUGUGUGGAGGCGUGUGGAGGUGGUGUAGUGGUGUGUGGAGGCGUGUGGAGGUGGUGUAGUGGUGUGUAGAGGUGUGUAGUGGUGUGUGGAGGUGUGUAGUGGUGUGUGGAGGUGGUGUAGUGGUGUGUGGAGGUGUGUAGUGGUGUGUGGAGGUGGUGUAGUGGGGUGUGGAGGCGUGUGGAGGUGUUGUAGUGGGGUGUGGAGGUGGUGUAGUGGUGUGUGGAGGUGGUGUAGUGGCGUGUGGAGGUGGUGUAGUGGUGUGUGGAGGCGUGUGGAGGUGUUGUAGUGGGGUGUGGAGGUGGUGUAGUGGUGUGUAGUGGUGUGUGGAGGUGUGUGGUGGGGUGUGGAGGUGGUGUAGUGGUGUGUGGAGGUGGUGUAGUGGUGUGUGGAGGCGUGUGGAGGUGGUGUAGUGGUGUGUGGAGGUGGUGUAGUGGUGUGUGGAGGUGGUGUAGUGGUGUGUGGAGGUGUGUAGUGGGGUGUGGAGGUGGUGUAGUGGUGUGUGGAGGCGUGUGCAGGUGGUGUAGUGGUGUGUGGAGGCGUGUGGAGGUGGUGUAGUGGUGUGUGGUGGUGGUGUAGUGUGGAGGUGGUGUAGUGUGGAGGUGGUGUAGUGGGGUGUGGUGGUGUGUGGAGGUGGUGUAGUGGGGUGUGGGUG